UCAUGCUCGUUUUGGCAGCACAUACAUUGGAAUGAUACAGAGAAGACUAGUAUGGCCCCUGUGUAAGGAUGGCAUGCAAAUUUAUAAAGCGUUAAAAAAAUCA